rnacentral:rRNA from 1 species
GGGGGACCUUCGGGCCUCUUGCCAUCGGAUGUGCCCAGAUGGGAUUAGCUUGUUGGUGGGGUAACGGCUCACCUAGGCGACGAUCCCUAGCUGGUCUGAGAGGAUGACCAGCCACACUGGAACUGAGACACGGUCCAGACUCCUACGGGAGGCAGCAGUGGGGAAUAUUGCACAAUGGGCGCAAGCCUGAUGCAGCCAUGCCGCGUGUAUGAAGAAGGCCUUCGGGUUGUAAAGUACUUUCAGCGGGGAGGAAGGGAGUAAAGUUAAUACCUUUGCUCAUUGACGUUACCCGCAGAAGAAGCACCGGCUAACUCCGUGCCAGCAGCCGCGGUAAUACGGAGGGUGCAAGCGUUAAUCGGAAUUACUGGGCGUAAAGCGCACGCAGGCGGUUUGUUAAGUCAGAUGUGAAAUCCCCGGGCUAAAAAU